rnacentral:rRNA from 1 species
UACGGGGGGAGCAAGCGUUGUUCGGAUUUACUGGGCGUAAAGGGCGCGUAGGCGGCCACCGCAAGUCGACUGUGAAAUCUCCGGGCUUAACCCGGAACGGUCAGCCGAUACUGCGGGGCUAGAGUGCAGAAGGGGCAACUGGAAUUCUCGGUGUAGCGGUGAAAUGCGUAGAUAUCGAGAGGAACACCUACGGCGAAGGCGGGUUGCUGGGCUGACACUGACGCUGAUGCGCGAAAGCUAGGGGAGCGAGCGGG